rnacentral:rRNA from 1 species
AGAGUUUGAUCCUGGCUCAGAACGAACGCUGGCGGCAGGCCUAACACAUGCAAGUCGAGCGGUAACAGGGAUAGCUUGCUAUCUGCUGACGAGCGGCGGACGGGUGCGUAACACGUAGGAAUCUGCCCGAUAGUGGGGGAUAGCCCGGAGAAAUCCGGAUUAAUACCGCAUACGCCCUAAGGGGGAAAGCAGGGGAUCUUCGGACCUUGCGCUAUCGGAUGAGCCUGCGUCGGAUUAGCUUGUUGGUGGGGUAAAGGCCUACCAAGGCGACGAUCCGUAGCUGGUCUGAGAGGAUGAUCAGCCACACUGGGACUGAGACACGGCCCAGACUCCUACGGGAGGCAGCAGUGGGGAAUAUUGCACAAUGGGCGCAAGCCUGAUGCAGCCAUGCCGCGUGUGUGAAGAAGGCUCUAGGGUUGUAAAGCACUUUCAGCGAGGAGGAAAGGUUCAAGGUUAAUACCCUUGAGCUGUGACGUUACUCGCAGAAGAAGCACCGGCUAACUCCGUGCCAGCAGCCGCGGUAAUACGGAGGGUGCGAGCGUUAAUCGGAAUUACUGGGCGUAAAGCGAGUGUAGGUGGCUCAUUAAGUCACAUGUGAAAUCCCCGGGCUUAACCUGGGAACUGCAUGUGAUACUGGUGGUGCUAGAAUAUGUGAGAGGGAAGUAGAAUUCCAGGUGUAGCGGUGAAAUGCGUAGAGAUCUGGAGGAAUACCGAUGGCGAAGGCAGCUUCCUGGCAUAAUAUUGACACUGAGAUUCGAAAGCGUGGGUAGCAAACAGGAUUAGAUACCCUGGUAGUCCACGCCGUAAACGAUGUCUACUAGCCGUUGGGGUCCUUGAGACUUUAGUGGCGCAGUUAACGCGAUAAGUAGACCGCCUGGGGAGUACGGCCGCAAGGUUAAAACUCAAAUGAAUUGACG